GCAUCUGUGGCGGAAUUGGUAGACGCAACGGACUUAAAAUCCGUAGCCUUUCGAGGCGUGAGAGUUCGAGUCUCUCCUGAUGUA
rnacentral:tRNA from 2 species